rnacentral:rRNA from 1 species
GGAAUAUUGGACAAUGGCUGAAAAGCUGAUCCAGCCAUCCCGCGUGAAGGCAGAAGGUCCUAUGGAUUGUAAACUUCUUUUCUCUGGGAAGAAAUCACAGGUUUCUACUUGUGUUGACGGUACCAGAGGAAUAAGCACCGGCUAACUCCGUGCCAGCAGCCGCGGUGAUACGGAGGGUGCAAGCGUUAUCCGGAUUCACUGGGUUUAAAGGGUGCGUAGGCGGGCUUGUAAGUCAGUGGUGAAAGCCCGGGGCUUAACUCCGGAACUGCCAUUGAUACUGCAGGCCUUGAGUACAGUUGAGGUGGGCGGGAUACAUCAUGUAGAGGUGAAAUUCUUAGAUAUGAUGUAGAACACCGAUUGCGUAGGCAGCUCACUAAAGUGUAACUGACGCUGAGGCACGAAAGCGUGGGGAUCAAAC